UAGGAUGAUUUACACAGGCCAUAUGCGGCUGUCUUGUGCGUCCUGACGCACCGAGCGGAUCACUCGUGUCUAGUUUCCCUCUUUGUCGGCAGGCAGCGCACACUCUCAUCAGGACCAUUCACACGUCCAGCGCUCAAACCACAACUUCAGAGAAUUGGCCACCGAUGAAGACAUCAUCCAUCAUCCCACUGACGCUCUGCCAGAACACUUGGAGAUAAAUAUGGAGGCUUUUCAAGUUGUACCUGUCUUUGAGAAACCACACAAUCAUAAACCCACAUAGAAGAAGCAGGAGAUGGUGGUGCAGAUUUAGAAGAGGAAGAGGAGCACAAAGAAGAGUAAGCGACGGUGGGGUCCAAGCCAAGGGAAAAGAGAUUACAUCACAAAAGCAAUGAUGGUGCAGCAAGAGCCAUGAAUACAUUACACCAUCAUAUAUACACAGAGCAUGGGCGGAAAGUGGCGGCAAAAUAAUAAAUCAUAAUGAAUAAUAUCAAA